UAGGGAAUCUUCCACAAUGGACGCAAGUCUGAUGGAGCAACGCCGCGUGAGUGAAGAAGGUUUUCGGGCACGUAAAGCUCUGUUGUUGGUGAAGAAGGAUAGAGGUAGUAACUGGCCUUUAUUUGACGGUAAUCAACCAGAAAGUCACGGCUAACUACGUGCCAGCAGCCGCGGUAAUACGUAGGUGGCAAGCGUUGUCCGGAUUUAUUGGGCGUAAAGCGAGCGCAGGCGGAAGAAUAAGUCUGAUGUGAAAGCCCUCGGCUUAACCGAGGAAUUGCAUCGGAAACUGUUUUCUUGAGUGCAGAAGAGGAGAGUAGAACUCCAUGUGUAGCGGUGGAAUGCGUAGAUAUAUGGAAGAAUACCAGUGGCGAAGGCGGCUCUCUGGUCUGCAACUGACGCUGAGGCUCGAAAAGCAUGGGUAGCGAACAGGAUUAGAUACCCUGGUAGUCCAUGCCGUAAAACGAUGAGUGCUAAGUGUUGGGAGGCUUCCGCCUCUCAGUGCUGCAGCUAACGCAUUAAGCACUCCGCCUGGGGGAGUACGACC
rnacentral:rRNA from 1 species